GACGAACGCUGGCGGCGUGCCUAAUACAUGCAAGUAGAACGCUGAAGGAGGAGCUUGCUUCUCUGGAUGAGUUGCGAACGGGUGAGUAACGCGUAGGUAACCUACCUGGUAGCGGGGGAUAACUAUUGGAAACGAUAGCUAAUACCGCAUAAGAGUAGAUGUCGCAUGACAUUUGCUUAAAAGGUGCAAUUGCAUCACUACCAGAUGGACCUGCGUUGUAUUAGCUAGUUGGUGAGGUAACGGCUCACCAAGGCAACGAUACAUAGCCGACCUGAGAGGGUGAUCGGCCACACUGGGACUGAGACACGGCCCAGACUCCUACGGGAGGCAGCAGUAGGGAAUCUUCGGCAAUGGACGGAAGUCUGACCGAGCAACGCCGCGUGAGUGAAGAAGGUUUUCGGAUCGUAAAGCUCUGUUGUAAGAGAAGAACGAGUGUGAGAGUGGAAAGUUCACACUGUGACGGUAUCUUACCAGAAAGGGACGGCUAACUACGUG
rnacentral:rRNA from 1 species